CGUUGUGGUGGUUUCUGUGUGUGGCAGAUCUGUGAGUGUAUCAGAACUGUACCAGAACUACCACAGAGAUCAGAAAGGAGAAGGCAGUGCUGAGAACUUGAAGCUUUAAGUUUUCAGCAAUUUGUUCAGCUCCUACAGAA
ensembl:snoRNA